rnacentral:rRNA from 1 species
AAAAGGUGGCUAUGCUACCGCUUUUGGAUGGGCCCGCGGCGCAUUAGCUAGUUGGUGGGGUAAAGGCUUACCAAGGCAAUGAUGCGUAGCCGAACUGAGAGGUUGAUCGGCCACAUUGGGACUGAGACACGGCCCAAACUCCUACGGGAGGCAGCAGUAGGGAAUCUUCCACAAUGGGCGAAAGCCUGAUGGAGCAACGCCGCGUGGGUGAAGAAGGUCUUCGGAUCGUAAAACCCUGUUGUUAGAGAAGAAAGUGCGUGAGAGUAACUGUUCACGUUUCGACGGUAUCUAACCAGAAAGCCACGGCUAACUACGUGCCAGCAGCCGCGGUAAUACGUAGGUGGCAAGCGUUAUCCGGAUUUAUUGGGCGUAAAGGGAACGCAGGCGGUCUUUUAAGUCUGAUGUGAAAGCCUUCGGCUUAACCGGGGUAGUGCAUUGGAAACUGGGAGACUUGAGUGCAGAAGAGGAGAGUGGAACUCCAUGUGUAGCGGUGAAAUGCGUAGAUAUAUGGAAGAACACCAGUGGCGAAAGCGGCUCUCUGGUCUGUAACUGACGCUGAGGUUCGAAAGCGUGGGUAGCAAACAGGAUUAGAUACCCUGGUAGUCCACGCCGUAAACGAUGAAUGCUAAGUGUUGGAGGGUUUCCGCCCUUCA